rnacentral:tRNA from 1 species
GGACCCGUAGCUCAGCGGCAGAGCACCGGACUCAUAAUCCGUUGGUUGCAGGUUCGAAUCCUGCCGGGUCCA